GUAGCACACAAUAAUCUGAAGUUAGUGUUACUGGGUUAGUCAGUGAUGGAAAUGUGGAGCCUCAUAAUAUGUAAGUUAUCUCUAAUUAAUAGCUUUUCACUGAAACUAGUUUUGUGCAAAUUAAUUUGAAUAAUUCAUCUUAUACAAGCUUUGUUAGCAAAUUAAGCUUCUUUGAUCAGCUUUUUUCAUCAGUUAUAAAAAUUUAUUUUUAGCCAUCAAACCUUUUAUUUUUCCUUCUUUUCUUUAAGAUUUUUUUCUACUGUUAUUUUCUGGUGAAGAUGUUAUAGUAAUGAUGACAGUAUCUCCAAUGAAAGAUGGUCAUCCUGACUUCUGGCCAGCAGAAAUUUUUGGAAACUCCACUGUGAAAGCUGGAGAAAAUAUGCAGUUAACGUGCAUCGACUUUGACAAAAGUAAAGAAAAUAAACAGCUCCACCUGUACUUGCUUAAAAAUGGUGCUGGAGUGAUGAUGGAGUUAUUAGGAGAGAGACAUGAGCACAAGUUCACUGUGAAAAAUGUUUCAGUGCUGGACUCGGGAAAGUACAGCUGUGUGUUCUCAUUAACCAAAUAUCCCCUGAAAAACUUGAAUGCAUCAGCACUAAAACCAGGACAAAAAACAAUCCAAGUCUGGGUCACUGACAAUUCAUCAUCCAUUACUGACAAACAUCCUCAACAGAAAAUCCAGCACAGUGAUUAUCUGAAAAACCUGCUGAUUACGCUUCUUGUUUUGCUCCUGGUUGUGAUACUUUCUGUUGAAAUGUAUCGUAAUAGAGCCAAAAUGUUUACAGAGUUUUGCCACAAACAAGCACAAAGUGGACAGGAUAAUACAGGCUACUGUGAAGAGCAAGUGAUGCAGGCAGUGAACAGAGAAGAAUCCCUUCAUGACACGUGUGAAUAUUCCACAAUACCAGAAUUAAAGGUUUACACAAGUUCAGUAGAUAUUUGUUAUGCUGAGAGUGGAGUGUACAGUCUGGCUCAAACCAGUGCGGUGUACAGCUUAGCAGAGCACCCUGAUGUGAAGAUCAAUUCAAAACAACCUUAUAUGGAUGAUGUUUAUGCAAAAGUACAGAAGAAGAAAAAGGAAAUCACUCAUGUUGAUUUUUUGAUGUAUGAAUAGUUGUAUGUGCAGUUUUGUGCUUUAUAAGGUAAAGAAGUUUUGUGUUUUUGUUAAACUUCUUGAAAGGUUUGAAUAAAGUCUUUGGCGAUCUUAUUAACUCAUUUUAUAUAACUACAAUGGUUUCAUUAGGCCAGCAUGACACAUGAAAACAUCAUCUUUUAUUGAUGUUACUGUGAAAGUAGAAGGAAUGAACUCCAAGGUAUUAAUGACUUUAAUUAUAAAUGUCUUGUUUUUUACACACACACACACACACACACACACACACACACACACACACACACACACACACACACACACUUAUUGAUUGUGUACAUGUAGAGUGCAGUAUUAGUGUCUGAACACAGUUUUUGUGCUUAGUUUUUUGUCUUUUCUUUAGUUUAUUCCACUUCAUAAACUGAUGAGCAGUUCAUUGAGUGCCUCCAAAACAGUGAGAAAUACUACUGCUUCACCAGGCACAUUCCAUACUCUGGACCAUUAAUAUUCAUGGACAUAUUUAUGUGUUUGUCAUGUUUAUUUCCUGUUUUUAUACAGAACACUUGCAGGCAUUAUUAAUGAAUUAUGAUGUAUGACCACAGAGAGCUAAAAUUUCAAUUCAAGACCAAUCACACUUUAAAAAGAUCUAUUAGAUUCUUCAGCCAAACAUUUCAGGUCCACUGAUUUAAAUUUGAUUUUUUAUGAUACAUUAGAUCUACGGCACAGUUUGUGGAAGACACAGCAUCUGUGGUUUCCAAAAAGAAUUUUAAAUUUUGAUUCAUCUGACCACAGAACAGUUUUCCAUUUUGCCUCAGUCCAUUGUAAAUGAGCUUUGGCCCAGAGAAGAUGGCAGCAUUUCUGGAUCAUGUUGACAUAUUGCUUCUUCUCUGCAUAAUACAGCUUUAACUUGCAUUUGUGGAUUGCACAGCAAACUGUGUUCACAGACAAUGAUUUCUGGAAGUGUUCCUGAGUCCAUGCAAUGAUUUUCUGUACAGAAUCAUGCCUGUUUUUAAUGCAGUGCCGUCAGAGGGCACAACGAUCCUAAGCAUCCAGUAUUAACCGUCUGCCUUUCCCUGGUGCACAGGGAUUUCUCCAGAUUCUCUGAAUCUUUUCAUGAUAUUAUAUACUAUAGAUGGUAGGAUAUCCAAGGUCUUCACAACUUUAUGUUGAGGUACAUUUUUAUGAAACUUUUCCACAAUGUUUUGACACCUAUCUUCGCUUCUGAGAGACUUUGCCUCUCUAAAAUGCUCUUUUUUUAUUCCAGUCAUGUGAGUUAGUUGAAAAAUGCUUUUCCAACUGUUUAUUAGUACCACUUUUUCAGCCUCUUGUUGCCCCAUCCCAACUUUUUAAAAAAUUCUAUUUUUUUUUUUUACUUGUUUUUAAUUCUUAGAACCCUAGGGUAAUUAUGAAUGAUUUCUUGGCAUUUGGUCAAUUACAAUUGCAAUUAUAAGGUAUUUACAUGAGACAGCCACACAUGCCUUAUGUUGUUAUAUUCAAGAGACCCUAGGCUACUCAGAUAUGCCAUUAUUUCACAUGUACAUGCUAAAAGAAUGUUAAUAUCUUUAUGAAUCUGGCAAAUGGUUUGACAUUGUCUUGCUGAAACAAUCAAAGUUUUUCCUGAAAAAGACGUCAUCUGGAUGGCAGCAUAUUUUGCCAAAACAUGUAUAUAUCAUUUAGAAUUAAUGGUGGACACGGAUGUGUGUGUCACCCAUGCCAUGUGCACUAAUUCACCUCGAUAUUAUCAUGAAAUCCGGAUUUAGAACUGGGUACUGAUAACAAGCCUGAUGGUCUUUAACCUGGAGAAUGCUGUGUCCAUGAGCCAGUGUCCAGGACCACAGGACACUUUUCCACUUCCCCUCAGUCCUGAACCUGAUCAUGAACAGUGUCAGUUAGUUUUGAUGCUGCUUCAGUACAUGCAGCCUCAGAUAUCAGCAUUUGUUAGCUAACAUCUUUGAAGAACAUCAGGCGAUUUUCAUACCCAGUUCAUUUUCUAAAGACUGCACCACAAUUUGUUUGUGAUAUUUCAUCUUUUCCCUUUGAUUCAGAUUGUGGACUGCAAGGGCUAAAGUAGACUAAAUUAUUCACACAAGUGGUGUUUGUUUAUUGAUCAGAGGUUUUGCAGGGAUGUAAGCACUCUGUUACUCUCAUAUUCACCUCCAUGAAAACAGAGAAAAAUAAAAUAGAGACUGAUCAUCUUUGUGAAUUCCAAAUUAAGUUUAACUGAUCAGGGGCCUGGUGCUUGGCCAAAAAUUAGCUACACAAUCCAUAAUCAAAUUCUUGUUAUUACUUUAUUGCAUGUCUUUUGUUAUUUACAGCAGCUCUCUCACAGUGCAUGAACAAGCAGUGGCAUUCUUGCAAAACCUCUGAUCAAUAAACACGUGUGUGAGCAGUUGUAAAGAGUGCAGUGUUAAAGCAGCAGAAAAUAUUGAACUCUGAAAGUAGUGCGGCAUUGCUGCAGUUUCAAAAGUAGUGGGGCAAUGGCCUGCUUGCCACUGUGGUUCCAGCGGCCCUGCUAACAGGUGCAACCCCACCAGUGGCUGCAUCAUCCUCUCAUCAACUGUCCUUUCAUCCUCUCUGAAUGUGUAAAGAAAGAAGAGCAUUAUGCGUGUCUGUGAAGAACUUUAGGCUGCUGGCAGUUUGGUGACUUCUUGUGCUGUUUUUAAAUAGCCCCAUUAGUUUCUAAUUAUGCCUUGACCUCACUGUGUUGUGCUCUCUCUCUCUCUCUCUCUCUCUCUCUCUCUCUCUCUCUCUCUCUCUCUCUGUGCCUUUGCAUCUUACUAAUAUCACUUUGUAUAGACACAUGAAGUGAGUACCACCUGCUGUAGUUAUGUGCAGGUUAGCUCCAGUCAGUCAGGUUGGCAGUUUUAUUCUUUUAAUUGCUUUGGCAUUGUCCAGAGUCCACCAUCACUGCUAACUAUGUACACAGUAUCCUUAUUCCCAGCAUUCUGAGUGCUGGCUGCAGAUUUGACUUUCGAUCACACUGAGUCUUAUGAAUUAACCUUGUUAGCCAGUUACAUAUUCAGAAUAUUGAGGGUGUCUAGCUAGAUGUUUUCUUUUUUUAUUAUCAAAUGUCCUAUAUCCCUUUCCUAUUUCACUACAACACCUGUAAAUGUGAAUGUUGCUCAAUAUUGUAUUAUACUCACAUUUCCAAAAAGUUACACUAUGUCUAAAAGUGAUUCUCCUGUUGACUUUAAUAAACACCUUUUACCCCUAGGCGCAAGUGUAUGUAAAUUAAAUAAC
ensembl:lncRNA